rnacentral:rRNA from 1 species
AGAGUUUGAUCCUGGCUCAGAUUGAACGCUGGCGGCAGGCCUAACACAUGCACGUCGAACGGUAACAGGAAGAAGCUUGCUUCUUUGCUGACGAGUGGCGGACGGGUGAGUAAUGUCUGGGAAACUGCCUGAUGGAGGGGGAUAACUACUGGAAACGGUAGCUAAUACCGCAUAACGUCGCAAGACCAAAGAGGGGGACCUUCGGGCCUCUUGCCGUCGGAUGUGCCCAGAUGGGAUUAGCUAGUAGGUGGGGUAACGGCUCACCUAGGCGACGAUCCCUAGCUGGUCUGAGAGGAUGACCAGCCACACUGGAACUGAGACACGGUCCAGACUCCUACGGGAGGCAGCAGUGGGGAAUAUCGCACAAUGGGCGCAAGCCUGAUGCAGCCAUGCCGCGUGUAUGAAGAAGGCCUUCGGGUUGUAAAGUACUUUCAGCGGGGAGGAAGGGAGUAAAGUUAAUACCUUUGCUCAUUGACGUUACCCGCAGAAGAAGCACCGGCUAACUCCGUGCCAGCAGCCGCGGUAAUACGGAGGGUGCAAGCGUUAAUCGGAAUUACUGGGCGUAAAGCGCACGCAGGCGGUUUGUUAAGUCAGAUGUGAAAUCCCCGGGCUCAACCUGGGAACUGCAUCUGAUACUGGCAAGCUUGAGUCUCGUAGAGGGGGGUAGAAUUCCAGGUGUAGCGGUGAAAUGCGUAGA